rnacentral:rRNA from 1 species
UGGCGAACGGGUGAGUAACACGUGGGUGAUCUGCCCUGCACUCUGGGAUAAGCCUGGGAAACUGGGUCUAAUACCGGAUAGGACCACACUUUAGUGUGUGUGGUGGAAAGUUUUUCGGUGUAGGAUGAGCCCGCGGCCUAUCAGCUUGUUGGUGGGGUAAUGGCCUACCAAGGCGGCGACGGGUAGCCGGCCUGAGAGGGUGUACGGCCACAUUGGGACUGAGAUACGGCCCAG